rnacentral:lncRNA from 1 species
UAGUUUUAGUUUUGACUUGCUAGAUUUUGAUAUUUGGAGUAAUGACUGAAGAUUAAGAUUAUUUUAUGGGGUUUAAGUUAGCUUUUGGUUCAUGACAGAUACCAAACAUGUGGUAGAAACUUUGGGUUGCAAAUCGCAGACUGAGAUUGACCCUUAAACAUCUCAUUCUUCCCAUCCUUCUUUGCCUCGGAAAGGUUGCCAUUGUUUCCAUUUGUGUUGGGUCUAUUCGAAGUUAUUAAACUCUUGGGGAUCCCAAUUUUGUGGAAAAUUACUUUAAGAGCUAAAAAAUUCCAAAGAAUGAAGCAAGGAAAUGGCCAAUUGAAGGCUCAAAUAGAAAGUUUUUGAGGGGAUCCCAGGAGUAGAUGAGUUUGGAUGACUCUCCCCACCCCAGACUACAGUCACCCAAACUUCACUUAA